GGAGAGAUGGCUGAGUGGUUGAAAGCCCCGGUCUUGAAAACCGGUAUAGUUUUCUUUAGAAUAAAAAGAAAACUAAAGAUUUUAUGUGCUAAAAAUGUUUUCCUUUCAAAUCUCUCUA
rnacentral:tRNA from 1 species